rnacentral:rRNA from 1 species
AUUGAACGCUGGCGGCAUGCCUUACACAUGCAAGUCGAACGGCAGCACGGGUGCUUGCACCUGGUGGCGAGUGGCGAACGGGUGAGUAAUACAUCGGAACAUGUCCUGUCGUGGGGGAUAGCCCGGCGAAAGCCGGAUUAAUACCGCAUACGAUCUCCGGACGAAAGCGGGGGACCUUCGGGCCUCGCGCUAUCGGGUUGGCCGAUGGCUGAUUAGCUAGUUGGUGGGGUAAAGGCCUACCAAGGCGACGCUCAGUAGCUGGUCUGAGAGGACGACCAGCCACACUGGGACUGAGACACGGCCCAGACUCCUACGGGAGGCAGCAGUGGGGAAUUUUGGACAAUGGGCGAAAGCCUGAUCCAGCAAUGCCGCGUGUGUGAAGAAGGCCUUCGGGUUGUAAAGCACUUUUGUCCGGAAAGAAAUCCUUGGCCCUAAUACGGUCGGGGGAUGACGGUACCGGAAGAAUAAGCACCGGCUAACUACGUG